CUUGCGACCAUAAUCCAACUACUAACUCUCAUUGAGUGCCCCUCUCGGCUGCCAUAAUAACUUGUCAACCUGUCAGAAGGUCACCGCAGGCUCAGGUUCAGACCAACCAAGGACUCUCCAAGAGGUGUAGAGUGCUGGGUGGUUCGGAACUUUGCAAAAAGUUUGUCCACGUAAUUUUUUCACGAAAAGAGCCGUAUCAACUCUGAACAUCGACCUGCUUCAGUUUGUCGUCUGUGCAAUAGUAGGACAGACCUUGUCAUAUUUCUAAUCAGUAACAAAAAAAUAAUUGUCGCACGGUUUUCUAAUCUCAUUUGUUUCCUUGUAACCAACACAAAAGUAUCCAAGAUUACACAAAUACAUCGACAGGAUCUUAUAUUUACAUAAGCAUCUACAACUACAAGCAAGUAUUCAGUAAUACUGUAUAUCAGAGUGGUUCAACUACAAGCAUCUACUUGGACAAGGAACGGAUUAAGGGACUUGAACUAUAGGAAGAAGAUGAGUAGCCAUUUUUUAAAUAAUAAUUGAGAACAAUGAUGGAUUUAUGCAAAUAUCACCUGUCCAAUAAGAUAAAAUUAGGAAAAUAUGUUGGGACACAAACUAAAAAAACUUAGUGCAAACAUAUGACUUAAAAGAGGUUCGGGCUACCGCUUAGGGUGAUUGAUUUUCGAUACCCGCCGGAAUCUAGCUCGGACAGCGGACGGAGCAGCCACAGUGGCAUUAGCAGGAUCCCCUCGGAGGCGUCAUCGACCCCGGAUUGGCCAGCUAAAUGGGGCUACGCUGGUACCUCAACUACGAAGACGGUGAUUUCCCUCCACCUCCCUCAAGAGUCACGGCGCAAGCAAGACCCCGGUACCCCCCACCCCCUGGUGGUGGUGGGGGCGGUGCUGGCCAGCGAGACCGGCCCCCCAACAAUGGCAGCUCCGGGAAUCACACCCGCGGGCUGGGGCAAGCCGGCUCAUCCAGGGGCGGUGAUGGACCUCCGCAGGCCGGCGGAAGAAGAAGGCUAUACCACGGCUCAGGUGGUGCGGCCAUGUCGCUGAUUGACACCGCACCCAUCAUCUCUUCGGCUGUCUCCGGCGACCCAUUCUCGAGCUCUGCCGCCGCGCCCAUCUUGCUGACCCGCCCGGGUGAGGGCCAUGUGGGGCUGGCGUCAGCCGUUUCUUGGGCAGCUGAAGCGCCCCGGGCCGCGGAGGGACAGAUGGACAGUUGCCAUCCCUUCGCAAGUCUGGGCCAGGCGGGACGGCAGGCAGCCACUGUUGAUGUCCCCGCUGCUCAAAUUCUGGCGCUGACCUCUGGCUCUGUCGCUGACCAAGAGAUGAGGACGAAGAUUGGCAUCGAAGGAAUAUCCCAUGUUGAUUCCUUGGGCGUCGGCGCGCCUCAUAAGUCAAGGGCCGAAAAGGAUAUCGAGCCCCAGGACAUAGAUCAAGAUGGGCUGCAGCUCUUGGAUGUGAGCCCAGCCGAGCCCGGCCUUCGCCUGCUGUCGGAUCCGGGCCUGGAUCCUCAGCUGGACGGGCCGAGCCAGCCCAUGGCUCCUCAGCAGGACGAACCGAGCCAGCCCAUGGCUCUGGAGGCUUCAUGUGAUGCUGAUGCGCAGGCCGACAUCGAUCGUAUUUCCUCUUUCCUAGACUCCAUCAGCGCCCCUGUCUCCUCCGCUUGCCCGCCGCUGCUGGGAUUGGCCCCGCCGCCGCCCUCCGCCCCUCCCAUCCUCGCGCCGCCUCCCUCGAUGGAUCUCCCGCGGCAGGACCCAGCUCCUCCUGCGCCCGCUCCCGGUCCGCAAAGGAGCAGCGGGCGGCUGGCGGCCAAGCCCUCUAUUGGUCUGAGCUCCAUGGACAAGGCCUGCCUUGUUCUUAUGAAGAAGGAGGGGAUUCUCAUCAGCGAUGGGCCGCCCACGCCCGGAGCGCUCCAGAAGUACAAGGACCUGUACAAGGAAGAGCUCCCCCAACGCUUCAUCGACGCCGUAACCGCGCUGGUGGAAGCGACUGCAAGUGGAAAGACCAAGGCCCCGAAGAGCAAAGCGUCGACGGCCAGGAUGGUGGCUGAAGGGCAGGCUAUGGCAGUUUGAGCUCGGUCUGCGAACCAAGUGUCUCCAGUUUUUCUAUGUUUAAUUUGUUUCUUCCAUGUUCUUCUUUGAAGUUAGUGCGACUGUUCGUCAGUUCAAAGGGUGUUGUUCCUCUGAACUUGAGUCUGCCUCUGCAAUGUGUUGUCAGAUUGAUGUUUAUUGUCAGAUUGAUGUGUUCCGUUAAGCUGAGUGUUGCUAGUCAAGCCUGGCUGCUUAGGGCUGUUGGUUCGCGGCAUGGAAUGCUGGUUGCGGUGUUGAUGCUGUGCUCCUUUUGGCCUCUGGUUUGGGCUAUUGUUUCUCAAAGAGUCACCAGUUGGUUAUGGAUAUAAAGCUGCUCAAUUGGAAUGUCAGGGGGCUGCAUAAUCCUGCAAAGAGAAGAUCUGUGGCAAAGCUGAUUGCGGAGCUGAGCUGUAACAUUGUUUGUCUGCAGGAGACGAAAUUGGAACACUUUGACAAGAUGAUCGUCUCAGAAGCUGUGGGGUCAAGAUUCUCUGCUAGCUUCAUUUUCAAGCCUACGUGUGGUUCGAAAGGGGGCAUUUUAAUUGCUUGCUCCGGUGAUUUUUCCAUCGAUAGGCUGUUGUCAGCCCCAGAUGAGUUCUCGCUUACGGCCACGAUCUCUGAUUAGUCGAAUAAUGCCUCUUGGACCAUCACGGGGGUGUAUGGACCAUAGAUGAUUGAAGACAAGCGUCGUUUCCUAGCUGAGUUGACUGCCCUGAAAUCUUUGGUUUUGAAAGAAUGGCUGCUGUUGGGAGAUUUCAAUCUUAUUAGCAAGGCCGAGGAUAAAAACAAUUCCAAUAUUAACUUGGGAAUGAUGGCUCAGUUCAGAAGCACCAUUGGCCUGCUGGAGCUGAGGGAUCUGCCUCUCACUGGAAAGUAAUUCACUUGGUCUAAUGAGUGAGCCGGCACAACGUUGACCAGAAUUGAUCGCGUGCUUAUUUCGAAUGAGUGGGAACUCAGUCAUCCUCACUAUCAGCUCGCACCGGCUUCCUCGGCUGUUUCAGAUCACACUCCCUUGCUGCUGGCGAAGAUGGAUGUCAAAGUAUUCAAGGGCUUCAGAUUUGAGGCUUACUGGCUCAAGAUGCAAGGUCUUGAUGAUGUGGUCGCUCGAAGCUGGAACAAGAAUCUGAGAUCUUGUGACUCCGUCAGGAGACUGCAUACAAAGCUCGCACGCACGGCUAAGGCCCUCAGGGCUUGGGACAAGAGCAUAAGGGCAGCUUCCAACCUGGCUUUCAAUGUUGCAAAUGAGGUCAUUUUUCAGCUCGACCUUGCAAUGGAAAGCCGCGAGCUUUCCGAGCCUGAAUGGACGCUCCGUAGAUUUCUCAAGGCCAGGCUGUUAGGAAUUGCGGCUAUGGAGAGGAUCCGAUGGCGCCAACGGUCCAGAAUAAACACAAUCAAGGCUAGCGAUACUAGUUCAAAGCUUUUUCAUCUUAGGGCGAACGGAAGAAGAAGGAAAAAUCAUAUUCCUACGCUUAGAGGACCACAAGGGGAUGUGUCUGAUCACAUGCAGAAAGAGGAAAUUCUUCUGGAUCACUUCAAGAGCCUGUUGGGUACACCGAUGCAUGAGAGAAGAGUUUUGAACUGGGACAUGUUGCGGCUGCCCUCGGCUAACCUGCAAAGUUUGGAUGCGCAAUUCACCGAGGAUGAGAUAAAAGCAGCAGUCUUUGAUCUGCACGACGAAAAGGCUCCCAGGCCGGAUGGCUUUAUUGGCAGAUUCUUCAAGCGCUUCUGGGCGCUAAUAAAGGAGGAUUUGGUAGCUGCGAUUCAGCAAUUCUAUCACCUCAGAGGAGACAACUGCAAACUGCUCAAUUCUGCUCACAUUGUGCUAUUGCCAAAGGUUAUAACUUCCAUGCAUGCCUCGGAUUUCAGGCCCGUCAGUUUGCUGCAUAGUUUUGCCAAGAUUUUCUGCAAAAUCCUUGCAAAUCGGUUGGGCCCGGAGCUUCAACGCCUCAUCUCCUGCACCCAGAGUGCUUUCAUUCGCGGGAGAUCUAUCCAGGACAACUUCCUCUAUGUUCAGAAUACCAUAAAAGAUGCUCACAAGCGGAAUAUCCCGCUGAUAUUUCUGAAGCUCGAUUUCGUGAAAGCUUUUGACUCUGUUAGCUGGUCAUAUCUGCUUGAUGUUAUGAAGGCUUAUGGGUUUGGACAGCGCUGGAGGGACAUCAUUUGUCUGUUGUUAACUUCCUCAUCCUCUCGUGUGCUCCUCAAUGGCCUGCCCGGACCAGCUUUUGCCCAUAAAAAAGGUUUUCGUCAAGGGGACCCUCUUUCUCCGAUGCUUUUCAUUCUGGCUAUGGAUCCACUCAUGAGAAUCCUGGAAAAAGCAACAAAUCAUGGCAUUCUGGACCCAAUCCCCCGGAACGCGGCUAGAUUGAGGGCCAGUCUCUAUGCUGACGAUGCCACAAUCUUUGCCACUCCUGAUAGCCGACAGAUCGAGACCAUUAUCAGAAUUCUGGAGAUCUUCGGCAGUGUCUCAGGUCUUGUAAUCAACCCCACCAAGUGUGUGCUCUACCCUAUUCAGUGUCAGCAUCUUGAUGUCAACAUCCUGUCAGCCAGUUUUGGGGGAUCUGUGGGAUCUUUCCCUUGCAAGUACUUGGGGCUGCCCCUCUCGUUGAGAAAUUUGAGGAGAAUUGAUCUCCAACCGCUCCUGGACAAGGGUACAAGCAAACUAGCUGUUUGGAAAGGAAGGCUCAUGAAUAGAACGGGCCGACUUGACCUGAUCAACUCAGUCCUCACUGCCACCAUCACCUAUUUCCUCACGUCUUUCUCCCCCAGCAGAUGGUUCACUACCAAAUUUGAUAAGCUAAGGAGAAAUUUCCUUUGGAACGCCGAUGAGGAGGCGCAUGGGGGAAAAUGUCUGGUUAACUGGAAGAGAAUCUGUGCACCUUUAAGCGUGGGUGGCCUGGGCAUCAAGGAUAUCAAUGCUUUUGGCCGGGCUCUUCGGCUUCGAUGGCCUUGGUAUGAAUGGGAUAGCUCGGACAGGCCAUGGAAAGGGACCCCGGUGCCUUGCAAUCAACCUGACCUUAAUCUUUUUGCGGCAUGCACUUCGAUUUCUCUGGGAGAUGGCCGUUUUAUGAAAUUCUGGAGUCAUAGAUGGUUAGAGGGCCAAGCUCCAAAAGAUUGGGCUCCUGAUCUUUUUCGGAUGGCAAGGUCCAAAGGGCUCACUGUCAGUCAGGCUCUUGAUGGAGACGCAUGGAUGAGAGGACUGCAGAAUAUCAACUCUGCUGGGCUGAUGAACUUUUUUAUUAGCCUCUGGAUGAAAUUACAGAAUGUUUCCUUGCUCUCUAGACCUGACACAAUCACUUGGAAGCUAACGGCUAGCGGACAAUACACGGCAAAAUCGGCUUACCAAGUUCAGUUCUUGACGCGUAUCCCUCAACCACACCUGCAGCAGGUCUGGAAGAUUACAGCUGAAAAGAAAGUAAAGUUCUUCAUCUGGACCCUCCUUCAGAAUAGACUUUGGACCGGUGAUCGACUGCAAGCGAGAAACUGGGACCACAAUGACUUGUGUGCUGGUUGCGAUCAAGUGCUGGAAUCCGCACAUCACUUGAUUCUUGACUGCCCUUUUGCCAAAGAAAUAUGGUUCAAGACCAGCUCCUUCUUCCCGCUUGCAUCCCAGGCUGCUCGGCAUGCUUCAUCUAUCUCAGCUUGGUGGAACAGAGUGGCAAAGCUAAAGAAAAAAGGACGCCAACUGGACGAAUGCACAGCGGCAGUUUACAUCGCUUGGAAUAUUUGGCUCAAGAGAAACAGAAGGAUCUUUAAGGAUUCAGCGCAACCGUCAACAGAUGUUCUUGUUAGAGCUAGAGAUGACAUUAGCCUCCUUUCGGAGGCAUGGGAGGAGUAGGUCAUUUUGAGUAGUGGGGCUGUUAGCAGCCCAGGCUAAUUUUACCCUCUGCUUCCCCCCCUCAUCCUGUUUCUAUUGCUUAGAAACUUUGUACAGCUUUCCCUCUCCUAUAAUGAAAAAGGCAGAGCUCCUGCCAGUUCCGGUCAAAAAAAAAGAGGUUCGGGAUUUGCCAUGAAAGUAUAGAUCAUACCUGCAACCAUAAUCCACUUCUCAUUAAUUACCUCACUAAAUUGUAACAAAACCUGCAAACAUGUAGGAAAUUAGAGACUCUGACCAACCAAGGCCAGGAGGUAUAAAAUACUGUGGUAAAAUCCAAAACAUGGAUAACUGAAUGUGCGGGG
rnacentral:lncRNA from 1 species